CCUACGGGAGGCAGCAGUGAGGAAUAUUGGACAAUGGGCGCAACCCUGAUCCAGCCAUGCCGCGUGAGUGAAGAAGGCCUUCGGGUUGUAAAGCUCUUUCGGCCGGGAAGAAAUCGUGCGGGCUAAUAUCCCGCAUGGAUGGCGGUACCGGACUAAGAAGCACCGGCUAACUACGUGCCAGCAGCCGCGGUAAU
rnacentral:rRNA from 1 species